GACGAACGCUGGCGGCGUGCUUAACACAUGCAAGUCGAACGAUGAAGCCGGAGCUUGCUCCGGUGGAUUAGUGGCGAACGGGUGAGUAACACGUGAGCAAUCUGCCCUUGACCCUGGGAUAACUGCGGGAAACUGUAGCUAAUACCGGAUACGACACCUUGGGGCAUCCCAGGGUGUGGAAAGAAUUUCGGUCAAGGAUGAGCUCGCGGCCUAUCAGCUAGUUGGUGAGGUAAUGGCUCACCAAGGCGACGACGGGUAGCCGGCCUGAGAGGGUGACCGGCCACACUGGAACUGAGACACGGUCCAGACUCCUACGGGAGGCAGCAGUGGGGAAUAUUGCACAAUGGGCGAAAGCCUGAUGCAGCAACGCCGCGUGAGGGAUGAAGGCCUUCGGGUUGUAAACCCCUUUUAGCAGGGAAGAAGCGAAAGUGACGGUACCUGCAGAAAAAGCACCGGCUAACUACGUGCCAGCAGCCGCAGUAA
rnacentral:rRNA from 1 species